AGCGGCAGCGAUAGCACUUUGAAUGCUCCAGUUCCUUUUGGACCACUGAAGUUAAGCAACGCUGCGCGUGGUUAGUAUCCGGAUGGGUGACCGUCUGGGCAAUCGCGUGCUGGC
rnacentral:rRNA from 1 species